rnacentral:lncRNA from 13 species
AUGCCCCUUGGCUGCUCUACAGAUCAUAUCGUUAUUAUGCCCCCUGGCUGCUCUACAGAUCAUAUCGUUAUUAUGCCCCCUGGCUGCUCUACAGAUCAUAUUGUUAUUAUUAUUCCCCCUGGCUGCUCUACAGAUCAUAUUGUUAUUAUUAUUCCCCCUGGCUGCUCUACAGAUCAUAUUGUUAUUAUUAUUCCCCCUGGCUGCUCUACAGAUCAUAUUGUUAUUAUUAUUCCCCCUGGCUGCUCUACAGAUCAUAUUGUUAUUAUUAUUCCCCCUGGCUGCUCUACAGAUCAUAUUGUUAUUAUUAUUCCCCCUGGCUGCUCUACAGAUCAUAUNNNNNNNNNNNNNNNNNNNNNNNNNNNNNAUUCUCGGCAUUACAUCGACCACCACAUGCCCACAAAGAAUAUGGUCUCCUGCUUCCAUUCUCGGCAUUACAUCGACCACCACAUGCCCACAAAGAAUAUGGUCUCCUGCUUCCAUUCUCGGCAUUACAUCGACCACCACAUGCCCACAAAGAAUAUGGUCUCCUGCUUCCAUUCUCGGCAUUACAUCGACCACCACAUGCCCACAAAGAAUAUGGUCUCCUGCUUCCAUUCUCGGCAUUACAUCGACCACCACAUGCCCACAAAGAAUAUGGUCUCCUGCUUCCAUUCUCGGCAUUACAUCGACCACCACAUGCCCACAAAGAAUAUGGUCUCCUGCUUCCAUUCUCGGCAUUACAUCGACCACCACAUGCCCACAAAGAAUAUGGUCUCCUGCUUCCAUUCUCGGCAUUACAUCGACCACCACAUGCCCACAAAGAAUAUGGUCUCCUGCUUCCAUUCUCGGCAUUACAUCGACCACCACAUGCCCACAAAGAAUAUGGUCUCCUGCUUCCAUUCUCGGCAUUACAUCGACCACCACAUGCCCACAAAUAAUCUAAUCUUUGUGUUUUAUUUUAUAUAUGUAUUUAAUUUAAUUUUCCCUGUUUAAUAUCAACAUUAUGAACAAGUACAAUCACAUUCCUGAACUUUACAUAACCCAUCGCCUUUGUUCUACCUGAAACCUGUCAAAUUCUGCCACGUAGUGGUGAAUGUGUUAACUACAUCCAAUGGGAUGUUGGCUAUCAACAACAAGGCAACUCCUAUGACUAAUUGGGAAUGGGACGCAAGCGUAGGAUUGAUCACCCUGUCGCUGGCCGCCUUUGGGGAGGGUGUAUAGUGUGAAAGGCCAAAACACCCUAGGAACCAAAGGUACACUACUGACGAUGCGCUCCCCAAAUUUCACCAGGCUCACUGUUCAUUAACUCUUGGAAGUGCUUGCACAAAGGAUAGUAACAUCUCAUCCUGUGUUCUUGGAAUCUGAAUCUAGCAUGGCAGUGAGAUUUCAGGUGUGUAAUUAUUAGUCAAAACAGUUUAAACGUUUUGCAACUAAAACAAAAGUUUCUAUAGGACAAAUAAAGGUAGCUCCCGCCCAAUUUUUAUUCUGUUUAAGAAACGUUUAGCAACAGCAUUGGUGUGAUGGAUAUGAUAUGGAACACGGCGUUUGUCUUGCGGCAUUGCGUUGGAGAGGCAGUUGCACUGCGUUCUGUGUUGUGCAUACGUUGGAUUUAUCGAAGUUAAGCGUCAAAAUAUAUGCGUAGAUGGCUUGACAGAAAUGGUAGGGGAAGGUGAAUGUUGAACAUUUGUUGCAAACAUAUCCAAAUGAUUCUGCGUACUAUUUUGCGUAAACACAUACUAUCGGUGUGAUUAAGGCGUUUGUGUACAACAUCCUGUUCUUGUUUUAUUGUUGGCACUAAAAAAAAUACAAAUGGACCAUUCUGAGGGACAAUACAGUUAUAUUCUAAAUAUGUUUGAUUCUGGCUAAUUUAUAGCCAUAUUCUAGCCAAUACAUUUCACGAUAUAGCCAAUGUUGACUUUGCAGCUUGGCCAUAGCGGCAAAUGAUAUCGCUCAGUUGGGAGCCGUUUUCAAGGAGCUAUGUUCGGAAGUGUUCCGCAACCGUUGUUCCCAGAAAACUUCCUGUGCGAAUGUAAACCAUCAGCUAAAGAACGUCUAAAAAAUAGCUACCUCCUAGAAUUAGGCUAGUAAUAUGAGGACAUUAAGGGCCAUGUAGAGAGAAAAAAGCUUUGGACAAUCAUGUUCGCUGGUGGGGUGUUCCCGAUUGACAGAAAUGAAAAGUGUAUAGAUUUUCCCAAAGGAGCAGCACAACGAGAUGCAUGGAUACUUGCUGUAAAACGAGGUGGUUGGACGCCAGCGUCAAAAAUACAAAUGGGUAUUUAGCGCAAACUUCAUUAUUG